ACAGGUGUGAGCCGCCGCGCCCGGCGCAGGCGCACAGCCGCCCUCUGAACCUUCUCUUCCUUUCACCAUCUAACCCAGAUUCCCUUAGUUGUGUCAGGUGAGAGCCCAGGAGGCCCCCUUCCCUUCCCCAGGUUUUCCGGAGCCAUUACAGCCAGACGCUGUAAGGGACCUGUACCCAAGACAGUUUCCGGCUGGGAAUCGAAACCACAGGCUCUUUAGUUCCUGCAGAAGACCGAGCUCCACGGCAUCCGUUGAUAUGGGCGUCACCGGUGACGCUCAAAUGUCGCAGCACUUUCCACUUGGACAUCAGAAUAGUGCUCCACAUUUGAGGCCCACAGGGUUGAGUCUUCUCAAGCGGUAACACUCAAAAGAUGGCGGCACUUUCACCAGAGAGCAGAAAGUGCCCCCACAGUUUGAGUGCCACAGGCUGAGGGGAUGCGGCAAGGCGGCGAUCGCAAGUGGAAGCACUUACCCAUCAGAAGAGGCUUUUAAGCAAGGAGGUGGAGAGUAGCCCUUGAUGAGCUGUUGAAGGUCUACAAAGCACGAAUUUAACGACCCUUUCUUAAAAAGUAAAAAACAAGGCUUUCCACGUAUAGAUAUUCAAAGCACUCCCCCGCCCAUAGCCUCCAGAUGCAAGCCAUGAGGACUGAGUACAAUGCAAGUAGGAAGGAACACGUGUGAGGGACAGUGGGGCCUUCGUCCUUAAGACUGAAAAAAAAUCACAGAAAUAGAACAAAAGUACAGCCCGGCUGGGCGGAGUGGCUCAAGCCUGUAGUCCCAGCUACUCGGAAGGCUACGGUGGUAGGAUUGCUCUUGAGCCCAGGAGUUCGAGACCAGCUUGGAUAACAUAGAAAACCCCAUCUCUCCUAAAAAAAAAAAAAAAAAAGCAGAAAAACGCACAUGGGAAUGGUGGUGCGCGCCUGUGGUCCCAGCUACUGGAGGCUAAAAGGGUGAGUCCCAGGAGGUCGAGGCUGCAAGGCGCCAUCAUCCUACCUGUGCACUUCAUCCUGGGCGACAGUGAGAUCCUGACCCUAAAAAAUAAAGUAAAAUGAAAGAAAAUAAAAUAACAUAGCAAUA